CUUUUCUUGAUUUUAGGAGUGUAUUUACUAGAUUAUCUGAUAGGCCUUGGUUUAAUAAUUCUGACAGUUUAAAAGCCAGGCCCCCGAGAUCCCAGUGGGAUGGAUUGAGAUGCGCAGCCAGGCCUUGGACUAGGAGAUCUGGCCUGAGAGGUAGUCUCCAAAGACUGGUGAUGGUCAUCUUACAUAGGAGGGGGUACCACGGUCUUCUUGGC